CAAUAGCGUAUAUUAAAGUUGUUGCGGUUAAAAAGCUCGUAGUUGGAUUUCUGCUGAGAACGACCGGUCCGCCCUUUGGGUGUGUAUCUGGCUCUUUCUUGGCAUCUUCUUGGUGAACGUUGCUGCACUUGACUGUGUGGAGCGCUACCCAGGACUUUUACUUUGAGGAAAUUAGAGUGUUUCAAGCAGGCAUACGCCUUGAAUACAUUAGCAUGGAAUAAUAAGAUAGGACCUCGGUUCUAUUUUGUUGGUUUCUAGAGCUGAGGUAAUGAUUAAUAGGGAUAGUUGGGGGCAUUCGUAUUUAACUGUCAGAGGUGAAAUUCUUGGAUUUGUUAAAGGCGGACUACUGCGAAAGCAUUUGCCAAGGAUGUUUNCAUUGA
rnacentral:rRNA from 1 species